rnacentral:lncRNA from 1 species
CCACACCCUCCUCUUCUUCUGAUUUCUUCCCUUGCAACCAGACACACUCACUCAGAGACAGUUGAAGGAAAUGGCCAUCGUCACCUCCGCCGCAGUCGCCAUCCCCUCAUUCACCGGCCUCAAGGCCUCCGGCGCAACCAUGACCCGCGCUGCCGCCACCGUCAAGACCAUCACCGCACCGGCCCCGAGGCUCGUGGCCAAGGCUGCACUGAAGGACGUGGGAGUGGCCGUCGUCGCCACCGCCGCCAGCGCUUUGCUCGCCAGCAAUGCCAUGGCCAUGGAGGUCUUGCUCGGCAGCAGCGACGGAGGCCUGGUGUUUGUGCCGUCGACCAUCACCGUCCCCGCCGGA